UGCACCGGGGAACGCUGCAGGAGAGGAUCCGGAUUCAUAAGUUACACCCUCUAGAGAUUGAUCCUUAGACCUCUCUUACUCGACUCAUAUACGCUCUUAAUACAUUUUAAUAUUUUAUAAUUAUCGAGAAUCAAUAGCCUGAACUAACAAAUUUCAGUCAUCUGUAAUCAAUACCUCUAUCCAUCCUUUUCAAGUUAAAGAUUGACUAAUUCCAAAUCUAAAUAACUAUAUAUAUAUAGUCAUUAAUGAAUCAUAGACCCGAUCAACACCAUGACUAUAACUGCCUCCGCACUAUUCCAUCCACCAUUUCCUCACAUGGUACUCUCUCUUUCUCUCUUUCUCUUUAAAUUCUUCGCGUGCCCUCACAAACACAUCAAAACAGCAAAUAUAUUCAUCCAUCCUGAAUUCCAUCCCUCAGAUAGUACUAGUAGAGACAUCAAUAAUAAACACGUGUUUUGUGCUGCCUCAUUUCAUAAGUUCAAUAAGGCCAUGAAAUGAUGAAUUCUGUUUUGUUAUGUAUCUAUACAUGUUAUCUUACAACGACUGUGAUUUCUUUGAUUAAUUUCAAGAAUAUCAGCCAAUGUUGUGAUUGUGAUGCAACUUUCAACAUGGAUAUAGGGUUGUUUCGACAACCAAAGCCACAGAGAUUUGGGGAAGCAUAUUGGAAGAAAGAAGAUAAUCCCCCAUUACCAUUGAGGAGCUCCAUUUACAAGUGAGAAGCCUCGGCGAUAACCAUAAAUUCGAAUGCUAGAUACUGAAGAACGAUCAAGAAGUGAAGCUUCUAUGUCUAAGUUGAUUUGAAGAGAAAUCGAAGGGUGGGAUUAGCAGCUAGGUCAUAAUGGGAUUUUGCAACUUUGGAAUCGGAAAUAACAGAGAACAAUGACUUAAUUAUGUACACUAUUUCACUUGUUAUUAGUUAAUCAUUUCUAUACAAUUAAUUAGUGCAAGAUUUAAAAUAUCCUUUGAUUUUGGUUCCCACACCUUGGACUCCCCCUUUGGCGAGUGUCAUUCGCUUCUGCAACAGGACGUAGAUCCUACCAUGCCUUCCCCUGUUGGGUUUAGACCUCCUUAGU